rnacentral:rRNA from 1 species
UAACACGUAGGUGACCUACCCCAAAGAGGGGGAUAACGGCCCGAAAGGGCUGCUAAUACCCCAUGUGAUUAGCGAUUCAUUUCGUUAAUGAAAGCUUCCGCAAGGAGUGUGCUUUGGGAGGGGCCUGCGGCGGAUUAGAUUGUUGGUGGGGUAAUGGCCUACCAAGUCGAUGAUCCGUAGCUAGUCUGAGAGGAUGAUCAGCCACACUGGGACUGAGACACGGCCCAG